GUAACUACUGGAAACGGUAGCUAAUACCGCAUAACGUCGCAAGACCAAAGAGGGGGACCUUCGGGCCUCUUGCCAUCGGAUGUGCCCAGAUGGGAUUAGCUUGUUGGUGGGGUAACGGCUCACCAAGGCGACGAUCCCUAGCUGGUCUGAGAGGAUGACCAGCCACACUGGAACUGAGACACGGUCCAGACUCCUACGGGAGGCAGCAUG
rnacentral:rRNA from 1 species